AAGUUUGAAGUAAAAUUUUUACAUCUAGUUUCGGCCUAGAAAUUGACUAUUUUGUCCUAACUUA
rnacentral:tRNA from 1 species